rnacentral:tRNA from 1 species
GCGCUCGUAACGUAACGGUUUCAUACAAGCUUCCCAUGCUUGUGACCGGGGUGCAACUACCGGCGGGCGCA